rnacentral:rRNA from 1 species
CCUACGGGUGACUGCAGUGGGGAAUAUUGCACAAUGGGGGAAACCCUGAUGCAGCGACGCCGCGUGAAGGAAGAAGUAUUUCGGUAUGUAAACUUCUAUCAGCAGGGAAGAAAAUGACGGUACCUGACUAAGAAGCCCCGGCUAACUACGUGCCAGCAGCCGCGGUAAUACGUAGGGGGCAAGCGUUAUCCGGAUUUACUGGGUGUAAAGGGAGCGUAGGCGGUGCAGCAAGUCAGAAGUGAAAGCCCGGGGCUCAACCCCGGGACUGCUUUUGAAACUGUUGAACUAGAGUGCAGGAGAGGUAAGUGGAAUUCCUAGUGUAGCGGUGAAAUGCGUAGAUAUUAGGAGGAACACCAGUGGCGAAGGCGGCUUACUGGACUGUAAAUGACGCUGAGGCUCGAAAGCGUGGGGAGCAAACAGGAUUAGAUACCCCAGUAGUC